AGAGGUGGUUCCCCAUCCUGCAGCCCAGGCAGCUGAGUUGUCACCGGGGAAGUAGUUGGCACCAGCGAUGGAAGCAGCGCGGACAUUGUUGUUGAAGGAGAAGGUGGAGGCGGAGCGGAGGAUAGCGAUGUCGUUGUCCAAAGUUCUGGAGUUGUAUGAAGGGUGGACGAUGUUGGUGUUGACGUUGUGAACGACACCACCGCUGUUGGCCCAGGUGGAGCCAAGACGGAUUCUCCAUCUGUUA